GCUUCAUUCAAAUAUCUGCCCUAUCAACUUUCGAUGGUAGGAUAGUGGCCUACCAUGGUUUUGACGGGUAACGGGGAAUAAGGGUUCGACUCCGGAGAGGGAGCCUGAGAAACGGUACCACAUCCAAGGAAGGCAGCAGGCGCGCAAAUUACCCAAUCCCGACCGGGGAGGUAGUGACAAUAAAUAACAAUAUAGGGCUCUUUUGGGUCUUAUAAUUGGAAUGAGUACAAUUUAAACCCCUUAACGAGGAACAAUUGGAGGGCAAGUCUGGUGCCAGCAGCCGCGGUAAUUCCAGCUCCAAUAGCGUAUAUUAAAGUUGUAGCAGUUAAAAAGCUCGUAGUUG
rnacentral:rRNA from 1 species